rnacentral:rRNA from 1 species
GUAGGGGACAAGCGUUAUCCGGAUUUAUUGGGCGUAAAGCGCACGUAGGCGGCUUGGCAAGUUGGACGUGAAAGCUCCCGGCUUAACUGGGAGAGGUCGUACAGGACUGCCAGGCUAGAGGCUGGAAGAGGAGCGCGGAAUUCCCGGUGUAGUGGUGGAAUGCGUAGAUAUCGGGAGGAACACCAGUGGCGAAAGCGGCGUUCUGGUUCAGCACUGACGCUCAUGUGCGAAAGCGUGGGGAGCGAACGGGAUUAGAUACCCCGGUAGUCCACGCUGUAAACGAUGGAUACUAGGUGUAGGAGGAUAUAAACCCCUUCUGUGCCGAAGCCAACGCGUUAAGUAUCCCGCCUGGGGACUACGGCCGCAAGGUUAAA